rnacentral:tRNA from 1 species
GUGGGCGUAGCUCAGUUGGUAGAGCAUCAGAUUGUGGUUCUGAACGUCGCGGGUUCGAGCCCCGUCGCUCACCCCA